rnacentral:rRNA from 1 species
UACGAAGGGGGGCUAGCGUUGCUCGGAAUCACUGGGCGUAAAGCGCACGUAGGCGGCUUCUUAAGUCAGGGGUGAAAUCCUGGAGCUCAACUCCAGAACUGCCUUUGAUACUGAGGAGCUUGAGUCCGGAAGAGGUGAGUGGAACUGCGAGUGUAGAGGUGAAAUUCGUAGAUAUUCGCAAGAACACCAGUGGCGAAGGCGGCUCACUGGCCCGAUACUGACGCUGAGGCACGAAAGCGUGGGGAGCAAACAGG